rnacentral:rRNA from 1 species
ACUCCUACGGGAGGCAGCAGUGGGGAAUAUUGCACAAUGGGCGCAAGCCUGAUGCAGCCAUGCCGCGUGUAUGAAGAAGGCCUUCGGGUUGUAAAGUACUUUCAGCAGUGAGGAAGGUGGGUAUGUUAAUAGCAUAUUCAUUUGACGUUAGCUGCAGAAGAAGCACCGGCUAACUCCGUGCCAGCAGCCGCGGUAAUACGGAGGGUGCGAGCGUUAAUCGGAAUUACUGGGCGUAAAGCGCAUGCAGGUGGUUUGUUAAGUCAGAUGUGAAAGCCCGGGGCUCAACCUCGGAAUUGCAUUUGAAACUGGCAAACUAGAGUACUGUAGAGGGGGGUAGAAUUUCAGGUGUAGCGGUGAAAUGCGUAGAGAUCUGAAGGAAUACCGGUGCGAAGGCGGCCCCCUGGACAGAUACUGACACUCAGAUGCGAAAGCGUGGGGAGCAAACAGGAUUAGAUACCCUGGUAGCCUGC